UGAAAAUUUGGGAAGAGAAAGCUUGGGGCUGCUCUUAGGGACUUCUAAUCAAGAUUUGGACUCCCAACCCGGAGUACCACCUCGACGCGAAAACUAGAAGCACUAUUGUGGGGUACGGGUGAAGCGUGAGAAGUGUAAAGGCUAGCGUAGUCUAGUUACUUUAGACUUUGUUUUGAAUUUUGGUUUUGUACUCGCGCUAUUCCUCGGAUGGAAC